ACUGGGCACGGUGGCUCAUGCCUGUAAUCCCAGCACUUUGGGAGUUGAGGUGGGUGGAUCACUUGAGGUCAGGAGUUUUACACCAGCCUGACCAACAUGGUGAAACCCCAUCUCUA
rfam:Homo sapiens chromosome 15 genomic contig, GRCh38 reference assembly alternate locus group ALT_REF_LOCI_1.